AGCGUACACGGUGGAUGCCCUGGCAGUCAGAGGCGAUGAAGGACGUGCUAAUCUGCGAUAAGCGCCGGUAAGGUGAUAUGAACCGUUAUAACCGGCGAUUUCCGAAUGGGGAAACCCAGUGUGAUUCGUCACACUAUCAUUAACUGAAUCCAUAGGUUAAUGAGGCGAACCGGGGGAACUGAAACAUCUAAGUACCCCGAGGAAAAGAAAUCAACCGAGAUUCCCCCAGUAGCGGCGAGCGAACGGGGAGGAGCCCAGAGCCUGAAUCAGCAUGUGUGUUAGUGGAAGCGUCUGGAAAGGCGCGCGAUACAGGGUGACAGCCCCGUACACAAAAGCGCAUGUGCUGUGAGCUCGAUGAGUAGGGCGGGACACGUGGUAUCCUGUCUGAAUAUGGGGGGACCAUCCUCCAAGGCUAAAUACUCCUGACUGACCGAUAGUGAACCAGUACCGUGAGGGAAAGGCGAAAAGAACCCCGGCGAGGGGAGUGAAAAAGAACCUGAAACCGUGUACGUACAAGCAGUGGGAGCACCCUUCGGGGUGUGACUGCGUACCUUUUGUAUAAUGGGUCAGCGACUUAUAUUCUGUAGCAAGGUUAACCGAAUAGGGGAGCCGCAGGGAAACCGAGUCUUAAUUGGGCGUUAAGUUGCAGGGUAUAGACCCGAAACCCGGUGAUCUAGCCAUGGGCAGGUUGAAGGUUGGGUAACACUAACUGGAGGACCGAACCGACUAAUGUUGAAAAAUUAGCGGAUGACCUGUGGCUGGGGGUGAAAGGCCAAUCAAACCGGGAGAUAGCUGGUUCUCCCCGAAAGCUAUUUAGGUAGCGCCUCGUGAAUUCAUCUCCGGGGGUAGAGCACUGUUUCGGCUAGGGGGCCAUCCCGGCUUACCAACCCGAUGCAAACUGCGAAUACCGGAGAAUGUUAUCACGGGAGACACACGGCGGGUGCUAACGUCCGUCGUGAAGAGGGAAACAACCCAGACCGCCAGCUAAGGUCCCAAAGUCAUGGUUAAGUGGGAAACGAUGUGGGAAGGCCCAGACAGCCAGGAUGUUGGCUUAGAAGCAGCCAUCAUUUAAAGAAAGCGUAAUAGCUCACUGGUCGAGUCGGCCUGCGCGGAAGAUGUAACGGGGCUAAACCAUGCACCGAAGCUGCGGCAGCGAACGUAUCACCCAAGACAACUUUGCGGAGUUGACGAUUGACGGAGCGAAGCGACGUCAAAGCGUUCAUUAAAGUCGAGUUGGCUUAGGGAUACGUUCGUUGGGUAGGGGAGCGUUCUGUAAGCCUGUGAAGGUGGCCUGUGAGGGUUGCUGGAGGUAUCAGAAGUGCGAAUGCUGACAUAAGUAACGAUAAAGCGGGUGAAAAGCCCGCUCGCCGGAAGACCAAGGGUUCCUGUCCAACGUUAAUCGGGGCAGGGUGAGUCGACCCCUAAGGCGAGGCCGAAAGGCGUAGUCGAUGGGAAACGGGUUAAUAUUCCCGUACUUGGUGUUACUGCGAAGGGGGGACGGAGAAGGCUAUGUUGGCCGGGCGACGGUUGUCCCGGUUUAAGCGUGUAGGUGUGUGUUCCAGGUAAAUCCGGUUCACUUUAACACUGAGGCGUGAUGACGAGGCACUACGGUGCUGAAGCAACAAAUGCCCUGCUUCCAGGAAAAGCCUCUAAGCAUCAGGUAACACGAAAUCGUACCCCAAACCGACACAGGUGGUCAGGUAGAGAAUACCAAGGCGCUUGAGAGAACUCGGGUGAAGGAACUAGGCAAAAUGGUGCCGUAACUUCGGGAGAAGGCACGCUGACACGUAGGUGAAGUGAUUUACUCAUGGAGCUGAAGUCAGUCGAAGAUACCAGCUGGCUGCAACUGUUUAUUAAAAACACAGCACUGUGCAAACACGAAAGUGGACGUAUACGGUGUGACGCCUGCCCGGUGCCGGAAGGUUAAUUGAUGGGGUCAGCGCAAGCGAAGCUCCUGAUCGAAGCCCCGGUAAACGGCGGCCGUAACUAUAACGGUCCUAAGGUAGCGAAAUUCCUUGUCGGGUAAGUUCCGACCUGCACGAAUGGCGUAAUGAUGGCCAGGCUGUCUCCACCCGAGACUCAGUGAAAUUGAACUCGCUGUGAAGAUGCAGUGUACCCGCGGCAAGACGGAAAGACCCCGUGAACCUUUACUAUAGCUUGACACUGAACAUUGAGCCUUGAUGUGUAGGAUAGGUGGGAGGCUUUGAAGUGUGGACGCCAGUCUGCAUGGAGCCGACCUUGAAAUACCACCCUUUAAUGUUUGAUGUUCUAACGUGGACCCGUAAUCCGGGUUGCGGACAGUGUCUGGUGGGUAGUUUGACUGGGGCGGUCUCCUCCUAAAGAGUAACGGAGGAGCACGAAGGUUGGCUAAUCCUGGUCGGACAUCAGGAGGUUAGUGCAAUGGCAUAAGCCAGCUUGACUGCGAGCGUGACGGCGCGAGCAGGUGCGAAAGCAGGUCAUAGUGAUCCGGUGGUUCUGAAUGGAAGGGCCAUCGCUCAACGGAUAAAAGGUACUCCGGGGAUAACAGGCUGAUACCGCCCAAGAGUUCAUAUCGACGGCGGUGUUUGGCACCUCGAUGUCGGCUCAUCACAUCCUGGGGCUGAAGUAGGUCCCAAGGGUAUGGCUGUUCGCCAUUUAAAGUGGUACGCGAGCUGGGUUUAGAACGUCGUGAGACAGUUCGGUCCCUAUCUGCCGUGGGCGCUGGAGAACUGAGGGGGGCUGCUCCUAGUACGAGAGGACCGGAGUGGACGCAUCACUGGUGUUCGGGUUGUCAUGCCAAUGGCACUGCCCGGUAGCUAAAUGCGGAAGAGAUAAGUGCUGAAAGCAUCUAAGCACGAAACUUGCCCCGAGAUGAGUUCU
rnacentral:rRNA from 1 species